rnacentral:tRNA from 1 species
CGCAGCUGGUGGAGAGGGCGGGCUUCAAGAUCCACUGGUG